rnacentral:rRNA from 1 species
GUGCCAGCAGCCGCGGUAAAACNAGGGGGGCGAGCGUUAUUCAUCAUGACUGGGCGUAAAGAGUUCGUAGACUGCAAAGUAAGUUUUGUGUUAAAGAUUGAAGUUUAACUUUUGUUGAGCACAAAAGAACUGCUUUGCUUGAGUUUUAUACAGGAGAAUAUAAUUUUAUUUGGAAGGGUAAAAUCUAAUUAUAAAUAAAGGAAUGUCUGUGGCGAAGGCGAUUCUCUAGUAAAAACUGACGUUGAGGAACGAAAGUGUAGGUAGCAAACAGGAUUAGAGACCCUGGUAGUCUACACUGUAAAUCAUGAAUGCUGUAAUUUAAUGAUAAUUUUUUUAGAAUUAUUUUAGAUUUUUAAGCUAACGCUAUAAGCAUUCCGCCUGAGGAGUACGAUCGCAAGGUUGGAACUCAAAGAAAUUGACGGGGGCCUAACACUAGUGGUGGGGGUAUGUGGUUUAAUGCGAUAAUCCGCGCAAAAUCUUACCAAUCUUUGACAUAAAAAAUUUUUUAUUGCUUUGUUUCAAAGUAAUGAAUAAGUUUUUAUACAGGUGUAGCACGACUGUCGUCAGCUCGUGUCGUGAGAUUUUUGGUUAAGUCCUUUAGCGAGCGCAACUCUUUCCUUUAAAAAUAUUUUAUUACGAUUUUUUGAAUUCAGUUGAGUUUUGAAAAGUGUUUUAAAGGUACUGUCAGUGAUAAACUGAAUGAAGGUGAGAACUAAGCCAAGUCAAUGUGACCCUUAUAGAUUUGGGCUACACACGUGCUACAAUGAAAACUACAAAAAGUUACAUUACCAUUUUGAGUAAAUCUUAAAAAGUUUUCCCAGUUCGAAUUGCAGACUGAAACUCGUUUGUA